rnacentral:rRNA from 1 species
UACGAAGGACCCAAGCGUUAUCCGGAUUCAUUGGGUUUAAAGGGUGCGUAGGCGGAUUGAUAAGUCAGUGGUGAAAUCCUGCAGCUUAACUGCAGAACUGCCAUUGAUACUGUCGAUCUUGAGUACACUUGAAGUGGGCGGAAUGUGUCAUGUAGCGGUGAAAUGCUUAGAUAUGACACAGAACACCGAUUGCGAAGGCAGCUCACUAAAUUGUAACUGACGCUGAGGCACGAAAGCGUGGGGAUCAAACAGG